CAAUAGCGUAUAUUAAAGUUGUUGCAGUUAAAAAGCUCGUAGUUGGAUUUCUGGUGGGAGCGAUCGGUCUGGCGCUUAGCGCGAGUACUUGCAUCGUCUCCGGCCAUCCUUGGGGAGAGUCUGUCUGGCAUUAAGUUGUCGGGCAGAGGAUCCUCAUCGUUUACUGUGAAAAAAUUAGAGUGUUCAAAGCAGGCUUAUGCCGUUGAAUAUAUUAGCAUGGAAUAAUAAGAUAGGACUUUGGUACUAUUUUGUUGGUUUGCGCACCAAAGUAAUGAUUAAUAGGGACAGUUGGGGGUAUUCGUAUUCCGUUGUCAGAGGUGAAAUUCUUGGAUUUACGGAAGACGAACUACUGCGAAAGCAUUUACCAAGGAUGUUUUCGUUAA
rnacentral:rRNA from 1 species